rnacentral:rRNA from 1 species
AACGAAGUGAAUCUAUGACUGUUCCACCCUGAGCUUGCCUGCUUUCAGAAGACAAGCAGCCUUGGGCCCGGCUAGUACUUGGCUUGGAGAAAUGGUCAACUUCAGUA